GAGGCCUCUAUUGCUUAUUGCACCACAUGUGUUUUUCUUUGAAACAAACUUGCUUUGGCGGUGGGCCCAGCCUGCCGCCAGAGGUCUAAACUUACAACCAAUUUUUUAUCAACUUGUCACACCAGAUUAUUACUUAAUAGUCAAAACUUUCAACAACGGAUCUCUUGGUUCUCGCAUCGAUGAAGAACGCAGCGAAAUGCGAUACGUAAUAUGAAUUGCAGAUAUUCGUGAAUCAUCGAAUCUUUGAACGCACAUUGCGCCCUCUGGUAUUCCGGAGGGCAUGCCUGUUUGAGCGUCGUUUCUCCCUCAAACCGCUGGGUUUGGUGUUGAGCAAUACGACUUGGGUUUGCUUGAAAGACGGUAGUGGUAAGGCGGGAUCGCUUUGACAAUGGCUUAGGUCUAACCAAAAACAUUGCUUGCGGCGGUAACGUCCACCACGUAUAUCUUCAAACUUUGACCUCAAAUCAGGUAGGACUACCCGCUGAACUUAAGCAUAUCAAUAAGCGGAGGAA
rnacentral:rRNA from 1 species